UACGUAGGGUGCGAGCGUUAAUCGGAAUUACUGGGCGUAAAGCGUGCGCAGGCGGUGAUGUAAGACAGAUGUGAAAUCCCCGGGCUCAACCUGGGAACUGCAUUUGUGACUGCAUCGCUGGAGUACGGCAGAGGGGGAUGGAAUUCCGCGUGUAGCAGUGAAAUGCGUAGAUAUGCGGAGGAACACCGAUGGCGAAGGCAAUCCCCUGGGCCUGUACUGACGCUCAGUGCACGAAAGCGUGGGGAGCAAACAGG
rnacentral:rRNA from 1 species